GUGAAUCAUCGAAUUUUUGAACGCAAAUUGCACCUUUUUCGGAAGGCAUGUCUGUUUGAGGGCACCAUUUAACAAAUAUUGUGCAGCGUUUUUUGUUUGACACUUUGAUGUUUUUGUCAAGAAUUUUAAAUUUUGGGUGGCGCAUAAUUAACAUCGUGUUAGUUUUUUUAAUUUCGAGUGUAGUAAAAUCUUUGCUUGUGUUUUUAAAAAACUUAUCCGCGUACUG
rnacentral:misc_RNA from 1 species